rnacentral:rRNA from 1 species
UACGUAGGGUGCAAGCGUUGUCCGGAAUUAUUGGGCGUAAAGAGCUUGUAGGCGGUUUGUCGCGUCUGCUGUGAAAUUUCGGGGCUCAACCCCGAACUUGCAGUGGGUACGGGCAGACUAGAGUGUGGUAGGGGAGACUGGAAUUCCUGGUGUAGCGGUGAAAUGCGCAGAUAUCAGGAGGAACACCGAUGGCGAAGGCAGGUCUCUGGGCCAUAACUGACGCUGAGAAG